UACCAAGUGAGGGAUAAAAUUUCAGGAAGU
rnacentral:piRNA from 1 species